AUGAGUGGUUCCUUCUUUUGUGAUUCAGUAGCAACUUGUGUGUGCUUCUCUUUGAUCACUUUGCUAGUUCUUUCUCAUUGUGGUAAUCUGUUUACAUGGCCCUCUUCCCAGGCUCCAAAAGUAGACUCUGUUUUAUUCCUCUUUUUAUUUCCAGUGCCUGGCCAAGUGCCCAGCAUUGGGAGGUGUUCGGUGUAUUGUUUGGGAAGCCAUAUUUUCUGGCAUUGGAAUCAAGGCACCUGGGUGCCCAUGGGACCAUCAACCUUGCUGGGGAUAACACUGCUAAAUGCUCCACAAAAUCACGUCUGUGAAGAAGGAAGAUUGAUGGUGGCCCCUGCACGAGGCACAGACAAGACCUGUCAUAGUUGUCAUGUGGUUAUGGCCUACACCCUGUAAAUUAUAGUCAAAGGGCGCCAUUAAAAAGUCUAGCAGAUGAAAGCAACAAAGAAAGUUUCCAGAAGACAACAAGGAAAGUUUCUAGAAGACCAGCAGCUGAAGGUCAUGGGAGUUGUGUGAAUGUGCUCCUUCUAACGGCCCUGGCUCACCUCUGCCUGAGCCUUGGCAGGAUUUGAACUUGGAGCCUGGAAGGCACACCUGGAACUUUCAGUGAAGACGCAUCUGGAGAGGCCUUGGAAUAGUUCAGUAGACAUCACACUGUACCCGAAUUUUCUCUCUUCUCUUCCCCCACUUCCUCCCCAGGAAGGUAAAAUAGACUAAAUGAUCAAUUAGGGAGUUCUGUUGUAGCUCAGCAGUAACAAACCCUACUAGCAUCCAUGAAGAUGUGGGUUUGAUCCCUGGCCUCGCUCAGUGGGUUAAGGAUCCCCAGCAUUGCUGUGAGCUAUGGUGUAAGUCGCAGAUGCAGCUCAGAUCCUGUGUUGCUAUGGCUGUGGUGUAGGCCGGUGGCUGCAGCUCAGAUUCAACCCCUAGCCUGGGAACCUCCAUAUGCUGUAGAUGCAGCCCUGCCUUACUAUACAGCACAGGGAACUGUGUGUGAUUGGGUCACUUUGCUGUACAACAGUAAUUGAAGAAAUAUUGUAAAUCAACUAUUUUUUCAUUUUUUUAAAGCAAUAAAUAAAUAGAUAGAUAAAUGAAUUAACGAAAUGAUCAAUGGGGACAGGUUUCAAGGGAAAAAUAGACUCAAGGAGCCACUGGCAGGAUGUGACUGAAAGGGGGCCCUCCAUCCCACCCACCUCUCCCUCUCUGCCUGACCCCAGCAGCUACUGGAGGACAGAGAAAGACUUGCCCCCUCCUAGGGGCAACUCAGCAUUUGGAUGAUGCAGCUGAGACUGGCAAAUGCCGCAGGUGAUGACCUCAUUAGGUCAGGAAAGGUAGCAGCUAGGAGCUGGCAUUUUGGAGACAGACCUUGGUUUGACUUCCUGGCUGGCACGUACUCCUUUUUUUAGCCUAUUACACCUUCGGUUUGAAUCAGGUUGAUGCUUGAGACAAAUGUCUUCACUGAGGCACUCAGAGACUCAGUGUCUGCUCUGAGGGCCUAUUACCCACCUCCUCGUAGAGGGCUAAAGAUUGAACUGGAUAAUGUAAAGCCCCAAGUGCAGGGGAGGUAGUCAACAGAGGGUCUCUCAGUCUGCCUUCCUAAAGGACCACGAAAACCUAGUCUCAGUUACUAACGGGAAGCUGCUCUCGCUCUCUCUCUCUCUAGGAACUGAGCGCUGAAACCCAGGUGAGGUGUUCUCCAAACCGUUUUCUAAGUAUGCACUCUUGCUACACACAUAUAUUUUGCAUAUUUACAAUACCCUGUUGAUGUCAAUUUGGGGGGCUGUAAAAUCAUCUGGAUUUAUACAACUUUCUCCAGAUUGUUUUUAUAUAUUGGAUUUAAUUUUGCCAGUGAUAACGGAAGUAAAUUUAACUUUGGAAGAUCAUUAACACUUCAAUCUACCAAGACCUUCGGAAAAAAAUAGUUCCAUCCAUCAGUAAGCUUGAAUUUGAGGGAUCCCUGGCCAGGACCUUGCUGAUAACCUAUUAAUCUGCAUGAGACUUCUAUCUGGAAGUAUAAUAGACCAUUCCUUGCAAUGAUUUUUUUAAUUUAAACUUAUUUAUUUAUUUAUUUGUUUGUUUUUGUCUUUUUGUCUUUUUUAGGGCUACAUCCUCGGCAUAUGGAGAUUCCCAGGCUAGGGUUCAAGUUGGAGCAGCAGCUGCCGGCCUAUACCACAGCCACAGCAACUCAGGAUCCAAGCCACGUCUUUGACCUACACCACAGCUCACAGCAAUGCUGGAUCCUUAACCCACUGAGCAAGGCCAGGGAUCGAACCUCAAACCUCAUGGUUCCUAGUCGGAUUCGUUAACCACUGAGCCACAGGGGGAACUCCCUUAUUUGAACUUUUAAAUUUUGCAAUUACAUGAAGUUUUAAGAACUAAUACCAAGAGAUCUCAGGUACCCUUUACCGGUUUCCCCCAGUGGUAAUAUUUUAUAAAACUAUAGUAAAAUAUCAGAACUGGUAUAUUGACAUUGAGACAGUCAAUAUACAGAAUUUUCCAUCACCAUAAGGAUUCCCUUUUUUGCCUUUUAAAUCCAUACCCACCUCCAUCCCCUCUUUAACCCCUGGCAACCAAAUAUCUGCUCUCGGGAGUUCCUGUCAUGGCUCAGUGUUUAACGAACCCGAAUAGUAUCUAUGAGGUUGCGGGUUCAAUCCCUGGCCUUGCUCACUGGGUUAAGGAUCUGGCUUUGCUGUGAGCUGUGGUGUAGGUUGCAGACAUGGCUUGGAUCCCAAGGUGCUGUGGCUAUGGUGUAGGCCGGUAGCUGUAGCUCCGAUUUGACCCCUAGCCUGGGAACUUCCAUAUGCUGAGGGUGUGGCCCUAAAAUGCCCAAAAAAAAAGACCAAAAAAAUUUUUUUGAAAAAAAAUUGAAAGUGCACAUAAAAAAAUUCUUCUCUCCAUAUCUAUAAUUUUAUUCUUGUCAUUUAAAGAACGUUAUAUAAAUAUCAUCAAAAAGUCUACAAAUAGGAGUUCCCAUUGUGGCUCAGCAGGUUAAGAACCUGGCAUAGUUUCUGUGAGGUUGCAGGUUAAAUCCCUGGCCUCACUCAGUGGGUUAAGGAUCUGGCAUUUCUGUAAGCUGUGGCAUAGGUUGCGGAUGCAGUUCAGAUCCGGUGUUGGUGUGAUGGUAGUGUAGACCGAUUCAGCCCCUAGCCCAGGAACUUCCAUAUGCCAAAGGUGUGGCCCUAAAAAGAAAAAGAGUCUACAAAUAAUAAAUUUCGGAGAGGGUAUGGAGAAAAGAUAAUGCUCCUACAAUGUUGGGAGGGAAUGUAAGUGAUACAGCCUCUAUUGAAAACAGUAUGGAGGUUCCUUAAAAAACUAAAAAUAAGAGUUCUUGUCAUGGCUCAGUGAAAACAAAUCUGACUAGCAUCCAUGAUGCAGGUUUGAUUCCUGGCCUCCCUCAGUGGGUUAAGGAUCUGGUGUUGCUGUCAGCUGUGGUGUAGUUUGCAGACGCAGCUCAGAUCCCACGUUGCCAUGGCUGUGAUAUAGUCUGGUAGCUGCAGCCCCAAUUCAACCCCUAGGCUGGGAACUUCCAUUUGCCAUGGGUGUGGCCCUAAAAAGACAAACAAACAGAUAAAAACUAAAAAUAGAGUCACUACAUAAUCCAACAAUCCCACUCCUGGGAAUAUAUCCAGAAAAAGUGAAAACUCUAAUUCAAAAGAAAUAUGCCCCCCCAGUGUUCAUAUUAGCACUAUUUACAAUAGCCAAUACAUGGAAAGAACCUCAGUGCCCAUUAACAGAUUAUUGGCUUAAGAUAUAUAUAUAUGGAUAUAUUUGGAAUACUACUCAGCCACGGAAAAGAAUAUAUUAUUGCUAUUUGCAGCAACAUGGGAAGACCUAGAGAAUAUUAAUACUUAUUAAUAUUAAUGCUUAUGAAUAUUAAUACUUAGUGAAGUAACUCAGAUAGAGAAAGGCAAAUACCUAUAUCACUUAUAUGUGGAAUCCAAAAAAUAAUUCAAAUGAAUCUAUAUACAAAACAGACACAGACUCACAGACAGAGAAAACAAAUUUAUGGUUACCAAAGGGAGGGGGCGAUUAAAAGCAUGGAGUUAACAGAUAGUUUAUAUCUACACAGAAAAUAGGUAAGCAACAAGGAUUUACAGACUAGCACAGGGAAUUAUACUAUCUUGUAAUAACCUAUAGUAGAAUAUAAUAUGAAUUACAUGUAUUGAAUCACUGAAUCACUUUGCUGUACACUUAAAACUAAGACAAUAUUGUAAAUCUGUUGCUGAAAUUCAGCCUCCGUCUGCUGGUGCCAAAAUGAAAAGCAGAGACAGGAGUUCCUGUCGUGUCUCAGUGGUUAACGAAUCCGACUAGGAACCAUGAGGUUGCGGGUUCAAUCCCUGGCCUUGCUCAGUGGUUAAGGAUCCAGCGUUGCCGUGAGCUGUGGUGUAGGUUGCAGACACAGCUCGGAUCUGGCAUUGCUGUGGCUCUGGUGUAGGCUGGCGACUGCAGCUCCGAUUAGACCCCUCGCCUGGGAACCUCCAUAUGCCAUGGGAGCGGCCCUAGAACAGGCAAAAAGACAAAAAAAAAAAAAAAAAAAAAAAGGGGGAAAAAAAGAAAAGCAGAGACAGAGUUUGGGUAAAGGAGAAAAAGCUUUAUCGCUUUGCCAGGCAAAGGGGGCCACAGCAGGCUAACGCCUUAAAGACCAUGCCUCCCUUGGAAGGGGUUAGGAGGUGGUUUUAUAGUUUGGAGAGUGGAAGAUAGGGCCAUAGAUAAGGAUCAGGGUAGAGGCAGGCUUGCAUUGUCUCUCAAAUCUGGUAUUUGGUGGCCCCAGGACUGGUUCUGGUGGUCCUUCUUCCUGGAAUGAAGACUGCUCCAUCAUGUAGUUCUUCCAUUUGUUGGGGGGGUUUAGUUCUACGGAAAGGCUCAGAGAUAUUAUUUAUGUAUAUUCCUUGAGCAGGAACCAAGACCCUGCCCCAAGUCUGCCCUAUUGUCUCUUGACUGCUCCUCCCUGGUCUCUGCAUCCCCCCUCCCCAAUUCCCUGAUUAGCAACUGCCCUUUGGAACUCAGGGAAAGUCAUGGAGGCUAAGGCUUCUUCCCUAAAAAUAAGAAAUGGAGGACACAGAAAGGCUUAGGUGCCCAGGAGCCCCACAGGGCACUCGCUCAGUUACAGAUCUGCCCUACUUCAACAUUUAUUUAUUUAUGUAUUUAUUUAUUUAUUUAUAGCUGCACCUGCCUGUCCU
rnacentral:lncRNA from 1 species